AUGCUCUGCAGAGAAAUCAAAGAUGGCGGUUGUAUCUGCUGUUCGCUGGCUGGGCCUCCGCAGCAGGCUUGGCCAGCCGCUGACGGGUCGGCGGGCGGGUUUGUGUGAACAGGCACGCAGCUGCAGAUUUUAUUCUGGUAGUGCAACCCUCUCAAAGGUUGAAGGAACUGAUGUAACAGGGAUUGAAGAAGUAGUAAUUCCAAAAAAGAAAACUUGUGACCUUGUGACAUAACCAGCUUCAGAUGAGAUCUGCACUAUGUUAUUGGCCAGUACACUGAGAGUAGAAUCACUUGUUCGGUUUGUGGCUAUGAAGAGCCCUGAUGAGGAUUAACUUGUGGUUCUUAUUUUUAGGGAUAAAGUAGCCGUUCUUCAGGCACUUGCAUCCACAGUAAACAGGGAUACCACAGCUGUGCCUUAUGUGUUUCAAGAUGAUCCUUACCUUAUGCCAGCAUCAUCUUUGGAAUCUCGUUCAUUUUUACUGGCAAAGAAAUCCGGGGAGAAUGUGGCCAAGUUUAUUAUUAAUUCAUACCCC
rnacentral:lncRNA from 1 species